CUCCUUCGCCGGCUUAUCAGACAAAGAGGAAGAAGAAAUAACCGAAAACCCAAAUCCGAUUUGGAAUCUGCCAAGGGUUUGAGGAGUGAACGAAAAUGCAGAACGAGUUUCUCAUGGAUUCGAACAGUGAUUUGAUUUUCGGAAGGUAAUGGAGAAAUUAAGCUAUAAAUGAAGCAGAUGUAUUCGAUCUGAGAAUCAAGGAAUUGUUGGUAGUGCUGUUUCUGUUAUGAAUUUGGGGUCAGGAACAAAGGAUUUAAGAUGGGUAUGAUUUAAGUAAUGCUGUGGAUUAGGGUUUUUGUAUGAAUUUGAUUGAUUGAAUGUGGACUGUGUAAGAAUCCUUCUUUGCAGGGAAGGAUAACAAAUAAGGAACAAGAAGACUACCAGCAGAGUCUUCCCAAUCAACAGCUCCCAAUGCAUAUAAAGUGUUUGUUUAUAUGCCUGAAUGACCAGAUUACAUGCAUCUUUUGUUUUUCACUGUACCAGCAGAUUUUUCACAUUAAAACUCUAUUUAAAAAGCCAAACUACUUUGAGGUCUUAAUCUGUCUGAUAUGUGAAGUGUUCAGUACGCAGGAAGGUCCUUGGAAUCAGUAUCAACAAAAAAUAACAGUUCAGUACCAAAACCUAUUUUUUUUGGUGGUUAUGCAGGGUGCAACUGAUGGAUUUGGCUGGUGCUGCUGAUGGUUUUCUCAAAGCUAGCUUUCAUGUAGAAGUGGCUCAAUUAUUCAUGACCAGAGAGGGAACUGGUGCUACACAGCUAAUUAAAGGAGAAAACUCAGAGGGCAUCUAGCAUCAAAAGACGAAUACAGAGCUCUAGAAAUAUUGGCGGAGCAGGUAGGCACAAGAACUGCAGCCAAUAAGUUCAUGUAGAAUUGAAAGUAGCAGUGAGAGACGCCAUUGGGAGUAGGACAGUCUACAUUGGAGUAUCGUGCAAAAGGAAUGUGGGUGAUUCUUCACAGACAUCAUUUGGUCCUCUUUCUGACUUCUUUGCAAUUAGUUCUGGCCAUGGUGGGAGCAAGGUAGUUUUGUAAAGGAUUCAUAAAAGCUGACUGAAGAACUUGGUGAGGACGUACAUUUGGAUUUUUUUUUUUUUUUUUUUUGCGGGUAUAAAAUGUCAGGUCCAAGCAUAAUUCACGAAGAUGGCAUCGACUGGUAAUAUCACAAUUAUAUGGCCGCUCUUGACACAUUCACCAGUCAAUAAACUAGGAGAAGUGAAAACUACAAGACCUUAAAGGAUUGUAGUUUAAAUGGCAUUUACAACUUUUCAUUGAUUUCUAAAUCCCGAGUCUAACAUAUUAUUUCUUUUCACUAGCUUUUUACAUGAAUGGAUAUUGGGCAACAACGGCUACAACAAGUAUAUUUAUUGUUGCAGCAAUUACAGAUUGGUUUGAUGGAUAUAUUGCUAGAAAGCUAAUUCUUGAUAUAUGGAUUGAUUCUCUCUAAUCCUUCAGCAAAAUAAUAUGCUAUUGCAGUUGCUAACACUAAUCUAUAACAUGUGUAUUAGAUGCGGUUAGGCACAUCAUUUGGUGGAUUCUUGGAUCCUGUUGCGGAUAAGGUAGGCUCUUUCUUCGUUCUAUAAUUUUUUUUCUUUACUAGCGGAUAUUUGUGAUGAAGAAUAUAUCCAGGCUUCAUAUGAUAGAUAAGGAAUCCUAUCACACAAAUGAAUAAAGGAAAGUGGAAAUUGUAUCGAGUUUGGAACCAGUUAGGUGUUUGUUUUAUAAUGCAGCUCAAGAGCUCUAUCUGAUGAAUGAAUGCAGCUUAUGGUUGCUGCGACGUUGGUGUUACUAUGUACGGGACUCUGGAAGUGGCUGUGUUUGGUGAAGUGCCAUGGUUGUAGUAGGAAGGAAUGAAUAUAGGGAACCCUAUAUGGCCUGAAACAUACAUUGGUUUGGAUAUGCAACUUUUAGCAUAUAGUACAAUAUUAUCAUGUAUUAAUAUCUGAGAGUUGAGGAUGUAUCAGUCGCACUGUAUUCUUUAACCAUAUGAAGAAACUCAAAUGCAAAAUUAAAAUCUAAUAAUUGAGGACGAUUCAGAUCUCUUA